CAAGUCGAGCGGACAGAUGGGAGCUUGCUCCCUGAUGUUAGCGGCGGACGGGUGAGUAACACGUGGGUAACCUGCCUGUAAGACUGGGAUAACUCCGGGAAACCGGGGCUAAUACCGGAUGGUUGUUUGAACCGCAUGGUUCAGACAUAAAAGGUGGCUUCGGCUACCACUUACAGAUGGACCCGCGGCGCAUUAGCUAGUUGGUGAGGUAACGGCUCACCAAGGCGACGAUGCGUAGCCGACCUGAGAGGGUGAUCGGCCACACUGGGACUGAGACACGGCCCAGACUCCUACGGGAGGCAGCAGUAGGGAAUCUUCCGCAAUGGACGAAAGUCUGACGGAGCAACGCCGCGUGAGUGAUGAAGGUUUUCGGAUCGUAAAGCUCUGUUGUUAGGGAAGAACAAGUGCCGUUCAAAUAGGGCGGCACCUUGACGGUACCUAACCAGAAAGCCACGGCUAACUACGUGCCAGCAGCCGCGGUAAUACGUAGGUGGCAAGCGUUGUCCGGAAUUAUUGGGCGUAAAGGGCUCGCAGGCGGUUUCUUAAGUCUGAUGUGAAAGCCCCCGGCUCAACCGGGGAGGGUCAUUGGAAACUGGGGAACUUGAGUGCAGAAGAGGAGAGUGGAAUUCCACGUGUAGCGGUGAAAUGCGUAGAGAUGUGGAGGAACACCAGUGGCGAAGGCGACUCUCUGGUCUGUAACUGACGCUGAGGAGCGAAAGCGUGGGGAGCGAACAGGAUUAGAUACCCUGGUAGUCCACGCCGUAAACGAUGAGUGCUAAGUGUUAGGGGGUUUCCGCCCCUUAGUGCUGCAGCUAACGCAUUAAGCACUCCGCCUGGGGAGUACGGUCGCAAGACUGAAACUC
rnacentral:rRNA from 1 species